rnacentral:sRNA from 1 species
GAUUUAGGGUCUUCACGCUGCUUGGAUUUUGAAUAUAAACCUAACAGUAGCUUAGUUGGAAAUGCAAGUUGAUCUAGAGAACCCCUUGUGCUGGUCUACUCUGAGUCACACUCGGGGCCUGGGAUUGUUGUCCUGCAGCAGGGUGUGUGUUCCCUCCCUUCCCAACAGCCUGCAGUGUUGCCCACCUCCCAGGCACCCACCUCCAACUCACUUCUGAAGCAAAAUUUACUGAUAGUCACACUAAGGUGAAUUGAUAGAAUGAGUUCAAGGCAGGUUUUGCUGUCAAACUUAAAUUUCAGUAUGAAAAUUUUUUUUAAGUUUUCAGAACUUUUUGGUUUUGAAUGCAGAUAAAUGUGCUAAAUACAUAGAUGCUUUAUUCUAGCCAAUCAGGCUAUAAAAGUACAUUUCAGAACACUGGGGGUCCAUCUCUCCACAGAGAUCCACAAGUUUUCCUUUAUAGCACAAGAACAAAAGGGACCAUACUGUGGGGCCAUCAGGACACUAAACUCACCGUGCCAGGAUAGCAUAGAGUUUCUGUAAACCUCAUCAUUUGCCAAGUUGUAUAUUCAAGUUUCUUGAACUUGCUAUCUUACCUACUCCUGAUGUCUCUUUUUCUUUCAGUCACAGUACAAGAGUCACUUUGUUGCAGCCAGUUUAAGUAAUCAGAAGGCUGGAAGCUCUGCUGCUGGGGCAAGUGGGUGGACUAGUGCAGGGAGCUUGAAUUCUGUUCCAACUAACUCAGCACAACAGGGCCAUAACAGUCCUGACAGCCCCGUCACCAGUGCCACCAAGGGCAUCCCAGGCUUUGGCAAUACUGGCAACAUCAGUGGUGCCCCUGUGACCUACCCGUCUGCCGGAGCCCAAGGAGUCAACAACACAGCUUCAGGGAAUAACAGCCGAGAAGGGACUGGGGGCAGCAACGGGAAAAGAGAGAGAUAUACUGAGAACCGGGGCAGCAGCCGUCACAGUCACGGAGAGACUGGCAAUCGGCAUAGCGAUAGUCCACGUCACGGAGAUGGUGGUCGCCAUGGAGAUGGAUACCGCCAUCCAGAAAGCAGCAGCCGUCAUACUGAUGGCCAUCGGCACGGGGAGAACAGACAUGGAGGAAGCGCAGGCCGGCAUGGGGAGAACCGGGGUGCAAAUGAUGGUCGGAAUGGGGAAAGCAGGAAAGAAGCUUGUAAUCGUGAGAGCAAGAUGGAGCCCAAGAUGGAACCCAAAGUGGACAGCAGCAAGAUGGACAAGGUGGACAGCAAGACAGAUAAGACAGCUGACGGCUUUGCUGUCCCAGAGCCGCCUAAACGCAAGAAAAGUCGAUGGGACAGUUAGAGGGGAUGUGCUAAAGCGUGAAAUCAGUUGUCCUUAAUUUUUAGAAAGAUUUUGGUAACUAGGUGUCUCAGGGCUGGGUUGGGGUCCAAAGUGUAAGGACCCCCUGCCCUUAGUGGAGAGCUGGAGCUUGGAGACAUUACCCCUUCAUCAGAAGGAAUUUUCGGAUGUUUUCUUGGGAAGCUGUUUUGGUCCUUGGAAGCAGUGAGAGCUGGGAAGCUUCUUUUGGCUCUAGGUGAGUUGUCAUGAGGGUAAGUUGAGGUUAUCCUGGGAUAAAGGGCCUUCUAGGGCACAAAACUCACUCUAGGUUUAUAUUAUAUGUAGCUUAUAUUUUUUACUAAGGUGUCACCUUAUAAGCAUCUAUAAAUUGACUUCUUUUUCUUAGUUGUAUGGCCAGGCAGUCCCCAUUUUAGGAGUUGGCUUCUGCAAAUUCAAUCCAUUGAGCUAACUGUUGGGGAGCAAUUUGGUAGUUGUAGACAUUUGCAGGGAAGGGAGAUGUCUGAUUCUAAAUGGGAGUUGAUGCUCAGGUCCCCAGCCAGGUUUGCAUCCAGCCCUGAGACAUGUAGGAAACACCUUUCAGACCCAGGCUCUGAAGAUUCCCAGAAGCCACAAGGAUUGAAGGGAAAAGGUGAUCCUGGUAACUGUUCCAGGAUUGCUCCAGGUUUGAGAUGGUAUUGUUAAAUUUAAAAUUAAACAAGAAACCCAACAACAGCUUUUAAAGUGUCUUCUAUUUCAUUGUAUUUUUUUUAACUUGCCCCAAUGAUAGAAAAGUCUUUUGCUGAAAUGAUUUUGAUGAUUUUUGUUUAUCUUGUUUAUAAAAAGGAAAAGAAAUACACAAACUUUGACUUUUGUGACUUUGUGAAGGUUUCUUUAAGAUGUGCAUUCCUUUCUGCUUGCUCUCUAGUAAAUGUUUUACUACCGGG